rnacentral:lncRNA from 1 species
GCGCGGAAAAAGAGGAGGGGAGGGGGAAAGGGUAAAAGAAGAUCUUUACAGCUCUCACGACCUUCUCUGCGCACAAGUAAACCACCCACGAGAGAGAAACCCACCCAGAAAGAACUCUCACUACCAGCCAGGGCCGCUGCAGAGCGCCGCCCUCGAACAAACUCCGCCGCCGGGCGCUCAAAACGGCCAGGUUCUCCGCCACCGAUAGAACUCUCCCGACGAAUCUUCACCCCUAUCUGUGCCGACGAUGCUCGCCCUCUUCCCUCCAGGCCGGGUCCGGCGGCGGAAGCUGGUAUUCGUCCGGGGUCAGCGCCGGCACGAAGUCGGGCAGCGGGGGCGCCGCCUUCUCCGGACACCUGCGCCAGUAAAACACAUCAGAGGGUGACGUACGACCCGGCACGACGAGGUAUGGUAAUCGGAGAUCGAUUGAUCGGCAAAACGAUUUGAUUCCAGGAGUCAGAAAAGCCAUCACAGGAAACCAGCAAGAAGAUAGAGUAUUAUAUCCUCUAAUCCUUCAUUUUCCUCGCGUUCUCAUCAUCAUAUCACUCAUUCGAUCUAUAUGAAUGCAUAUGUACUGCUUUAGAACAGGUUAUAUAUUGUUCACGGGGCUUACUUUUGGAGAAUAUGGAGGCCCGGGGCAGUAUGCAACGUAUGUGAAGCAUCCUCAGUGAUUUUCUCAGCCAAACGCUUCAUAAACGGCAACGGAGGAGGCGACCUGCAGGAUCAAUAGCAUGCUUACCUCCUAAGAUAUGUAGAAGAACAACAAUGUCUGACUUAGGAAAAUGGGAAAUUUUUGCUAGCUAGCUGGGUCGUAGAGAUUUAUUUCCCUAAAUGUGAGGGAAUAGUCAGACCACCAUAUGAAGACGGUUUAUGAUCUGGGUUUCUCUUCCUUAUUAAG